GAUAAGGUGGCAGAGCCCGGUAAUUGCGAAAGGCCUAAGCCCUUUUUCUCAGAGGUUCAAGCCCUCUCCUUAGCUAUGAUCACGACCCUAAUCAC
rnacentral:tRNA from 1 species